UACGUAGGGACCGAGCGUUGUCCGGAUUCAUUGGGCGUAAAGAGCUCGUAGGCGGUCUGUUGCGUCAGGAGUGAAAACUCGGGGCUUAACCCCGAGCCUGCUUCUGAUACGGGCAGACUAGAGGUAUGCAGGGGAGAACGGAAUUCCUGGUGUAGCGGUGAAAUGCGCAGAUAUCAGGAGGAACACCGGUGGCGAAGGCGGUUCUCUGGGCAUUACCUGACGCUGAGGAGCGAAAGUGUGGGGAGCGAACAGG
rnacentral:rRNA from 1 species